rnacentral:lncRNA from 10 species
CCGACAUCUGCGGAGGGUUAGGAGGGGAAAGGUUUUUUCUACCCGCCGGCUCGGCGACCAGGCUGAAACUCAUGUUUGAAUUUAGUGAGCCGUUUGUUCGUUAGUCCGGAACACUAGCGCGGUAGGCCAAGCUGCGAGGAGGCGGCGAAAUCAGCGAAUAGCAAAUUAUAAAAGAAACAAGGCUUUAUCUCCUAGGCCCUCUAAAGCAUCCCCAGGAGAUCCGUAUCCCCGUUUUGGAGAGAACGCUGAAGCUCAGAAAAACUCAGUGGAAAGCGGCAGACCCAAGCCUCCUCGCCAAGUCUGAGUGACCGUGAAGCCCUGGUUUUUCCUUCUUUUUCUUUCUUUUUGUACUUUUUUUUUUUUUUUGGUAGAGUCGGGCUGUUGCCCGGCCUGGUCUCAAACUCCUCUAACUCAAACUAAAAAGCCAUCCUCCGGCCUCGUCCUGCCAAAGUGCUGAGAUCACAGGCAUAACCUGCCGCGCCCGGCCCAAGUCCCUAUUUUUCUUUCCAGGCUUCCUAAGUUCAUUUAAAGGCGAAUUUAUCUAUUAGUAAUGACGGCUGACGAGUGAUGGCAGAGUGGACAGGUGUAAUGGAGAGAUGAAAAAUGAACCUUCGCCUGUAAUCCCAGCGCUUUGGGAGGCUGAGGCGGGAGGAUCACCUGAGGCCAGGUAUUUGAGACUAGCAUGGGCAACAAAUUGAGACCCCAUGUAUCCAAUUUUUGUGUUUUUUUUAAUGUGGUGUGGUGGCGUGUGCCUGUGGUCCCUGCUACUCCAAAGGCUAAGGUGGG